GAAUUCGCCCUUAGAGUUUGAUCCUGGCUCAGGACGAACGCUGGCGGCGCGCCUAACACAUGCAAGUCGAACGGAGCUAUGUUGAAAGCUUGCUGGAUAUAUAGCUUAGUGGCGGACGGGUGAGUAACACGUGAGCAACCUGCCUUUCAGAGUGGAAUAACGUUUGGAAACGAACGCUAAUACCGCAUAAUGUCAGAGGAUGGCAUCAUUCUUUGACCAAAGAUUUAUCGCUGAAAGAUGGGCUCGCGGCCGAUUAGGUAGUUGGUGAGAUAAUAGCCCACCAAGCCGACGAUCGGUAGCCGGACUGAGAGGUUGAACGGCCACAUUGGGACUGAGACACGGCCCAGACUCCUACGGGAGGCAGCAGUGGGGGAUAUUGCACAAUGGGGGAAACCCUGAUGCAGCGACGCCGCGUGAGGGAAGACGGCCUUCGGGUUGUAAACCUCUGUCUUCGGGGACGAAUAAAUGACGGUACCCGAGGAGGAAGCCACGGCUAACUACGUGCCAGCAGCCGCGGUAAUACGUAGGUGGCAAGCGUUGUCCGGAAUUACUGGGUGUAAAGGGAGCGUAGGCGGGGAAGCAAGUUGAAUGUCUAAACUAUCGGCUCAACUGAUAGUCGCGUUCAAAACUGCCACUCUUGAGUGCAGUAGAGGUAGGUGGAAUUCCUAGUGUAGCGGUGAAAUGCGUAGAUAUUAGGAGGAACACCAGUGGCGAAGGCGGCCUACUGGGCUGUAACUGACGCUGAGGCUCGAAAGCGUGGGUAGCAAACAGGAUUAGAUACCCUGGUAGUCCACGCCGUAAACGAUGAUUACUAGGUGUGGGGGGACUGACCCCUUCCGUGCCGGAGUUAACACAAUAAGUAAUCCACCUGGGGAGUACGGCCGCAAGGCUGAAACUCAAAGGAAUUGACGGGGGCCCGCACAAGCAGUGGAGUAUGUGGUUUAAUUCGAAGCAACGCGAAGAACCUUACCAAGUCUUGACAUCCUUCUGACCGGUACUUAACCGUACCUUCUCUUCGGAGCAGGAGUGACAGGUGGUGCAUGGUUGUCGUCAGCUCGUGUCGUGAGAUGUUGGGUUAAGUCCCGCAACGAGCGCAACCCUUAUCUUUAGUAGCCAGCGGUCCGGCCGGGCACUCUGGAGAGACUGCCAGGGAUAACCUGGAGGAAGGUGGGGAUGACGUCAAAUCAUCAUGCCCCUUAUGAGCAGGGCUACACACGUGCUACAAUGGCGUAAACAAAGGGAGGCAGAACCGCGAGGUCGAGCAAAUCCCAAAAAUAACGUCUCAGUUCGGAUUGUAGUCUGCAACUCGACUACAUGAAGCUGGAAUCGCUAGUAAUCGCGAAUCAGAAUGUCGCGGUGAAUACGUUCCCGGGUCUUGCACUCACCGCCCGUCA
rnacentral:rRNA from 1 species